GGGCCCCUCGCGGUAGCGGUGCCCUCCCUGCUCCCGGGCGGCUCUGGGGGAGCUCGGUGUUUGCCUCCAGCCCUUCGCUACCGGAGAGAUCAGGUUCCUCCCCUCCUCCCCCUCCAGCUCCGGCCGCCGCCGCCGCCGCCGCCUCCUUCUUGCAUGACACAGCAGAACCGCAGCUGCUGCAGCGAGUCCCAACCAUCCGCCCAGGAAGCGUCGCAACCGGGACUCGGGAGGGGCGCAGGGGGGCGAGGCAGGGGCCACCGCCGAGGGGGAUUCUUGCCCCCACUCUGCACCGCACACUUGUUUCCCAGCCCAGGGGCUCGGGAACAAAAUCGGGCUAAAGCCGACCAGGCCGAGCCGUUGAGGAAUGCUGGGGUUUGGCGUCAGAAGGGAUGGGACCCGAGAGAAGGGUGCGAAGGAGACCCCAGUAGGGGUAGGACGUUGCAGGUAAAGAAGGGAAAGAAGAGGCCGAGAAGUCAAGGGCCAGACUGUGAAGGAGAAUAAAGGAGGUCAAAGAGAGGUCAUAUCUUCGUACCUCACUUCCUGACACAAACAAGUUUUUACUGUUGUCAGCAACAAAGCCCUAAUAUAGCUGCGGAAGAGAAAAACUGCAUUGCAUUUAGCCUCCUGCAAGCAUCAUCAACAGUUACCGGAGGAAUGUAAUUCCAGAAAGCUUUAAAGCUGGUGGUGAUGGUAAUUAUGUAUCAAAUGCCUGGUUCUAUUUCUGUUAUUAUUGUUUUGUCAUUUCUGUUCUACCCAAGAGCCGGCUGAACUCGCAGAGAGAAAUCCGGUUUUUCUUUUUGACUUUGUAAAAAUUCAUCAGCCCCGGUAGAAAACUUGCUCUUGGGGAAAAUAAAGUAGGAGCCACGAAAUGUCA